rnacentral:tRNA from 1 species
GGGGAUUUAGCUCAGUGGUAGAGCGCUUGCCUAGCAAGCGAGAUCUAUAGAUUUAAUGGGCACAUACCUGAGACUGGAGACUCCUUGCUCCCCA